CGCAGUGGAAGCGUGGACGCUUCGCUUUUGAUAUGAAAAAUUUUGGAGAAUUUGAUGUAUAUUGGAGAUUUGUAUGGUAAUUCAUUUGAGGACUUUAGUGAACGACUGAGUCCCGGCGAGAGCCGGGCAGGCGGUCCGCCAAACCCUUUAGUUCGCCUUAGGGGGAGGUGGGGCCGUGACACCUUGCCUACAUUCUAAAAUCCAAACUUUCUUGAAAAUAUUGUUAGUGGGUGCAUAGGCACCCGUUUGGACCGGUAGUGGUUCAGUCCCCUCCAAAUUCUCCUUGGGUCUCUUCCGGUCCCCCCUCCCCCUACUAUAAAGUAAGUGUAGGUCUAUCGUGUCCGGAAAAAAAGGAUAUCCUAAUUUUCGGAUUAAAUCGAAUAGGAUAUCACGAAUUUUCGGGUUAACGGGUAUUUUUGCCCACUCC
rnacentral:lncRNA from 1 species